AUGGUUUAUCCUUCCGGCCUGGCCAGCGUUCCNCCCAGAGGGAGGAGGAGGAGGAGGAAGGGGAGAGCUGCAGCCCCAGGAGCCGGGGCAGGAACCUGCUCUGGGCUGGGUCCAUCCAUCCCCAGAGGCUGUGGGGAGGGAGAGCUGCAGCCCCAGAGCAUGAGAAGGAGAGAGCUGCAGCCCCAGAGGAUCAGAAGGGAGAGCUGCAGCCCCAGACCAUGGGAAGGAAGGGGAGAGCUGCAGCCCCAGACCAUGAGAAGGAGGGGAGAGCUGCAGCCCCAGCCCACGGGAAGGAAGGAGAGAGCUGCAGCCCCAGCCCAUGGGAAGGAAGGAGAGAGCUGCAGCCCCAGCCCAUGGGAAGGAAGGAGAGCUGCAGCCCCAGCGGAUGCCCUAGACCAUGAAGCGAUGCUCCUUGCCGUCGUGGGCCAUGAGGAUGACGUUGCGGUUGGAGGUCCAGAUGAGCCGGGCCAGGCGCAGCGCGCCGAGCGAGCCGGGCGACGCCGGCUGCACCGGGGGCACCUGGAACGUCUUGACACAGCGCAGCUGCGGGGCCGAGUUCAGCAUCCCAAUGCUGCCCAGCAGAGAGGUGUUCAUCUGGGGGAGAGACACUGGGAGCUCAUCCCAAACCCCACAUCCUGAAUAAUCCUGAAUAACCCUGAAUAANGCUGGACCAAGGCCAGGAAUCCUCCCUGGCGCCCCGGGACCAUCCCCAUCCUCCUGCCUCUGCCCCCUCCCACCAGCACCACCCUCGCUCUUUGCUCCUGGAAUGAAGUUCCCAGGAAUUUUUCCAUGGCCAUUUUAACCCAUUUUCUGCCCGAAUCCAUUUUGUUUGAUAUAAAAUUAUAUAUAUUAUAAUCCUGUGCGGAUUCCAGGAUGACUCCCAGGCUGGAAACCGUGAGUAGCUCUGCAGGAGUGAGUAAAUGCCUGUUUAAGGUUAUUUACAUCAAUAAAUAAAUAUUUACCCCUCUUUAAGCGUCUCGA
rnacentral:lncRNA from 1 species